rnacentral:rRNA from 1 species
GAUGAACGCUGGCGGCGUGCCUAAUACAUGCAAGUCGAGCGAACAGACGAGGAGCUUGCUCCUCUGACGUUAGCGGCGGAGGGGAGAGUAACACGUGGAUAACCUACCUAUAAGACUGGGAUCACUUCGGGAAACCGGAGCUAAUACCGGAUAAUAUAUUGCACCGCAUGGUUCAAUGGUGAAAGACGGUGUUGCUGUCACUUAUAGAUGGUUCCGCGCGGCAUUAGCUAGUUGGUACGGUAACGGCCUACCACGGCAACGAUGCGUAGCCGACCUGAGAGGCUGAUCGGCCACAUUGGAACGGAGACGCGGUCCAGACUCCUACGGGAGGCAGCAGUAGGGAAUCUUCCGCAAUGGGCGAAAGCCUGGCGGAGCAACGGCGCGUGAGUGAUGAAGGUCUUCCGAUCGUAAAACUCUGUUAUUAGGGAAGAACAAAUGUGGAAGUAACUAUGCACGUCUUGACGGUACCUAAUCAGAAAGCCACGGCUAACUACGUG